CAUGACAUCUCUUCCAAGUGGCUGCAUCAGAAACCUUACAUCAUUGACGGAAUUACAAAUUAUAUUAUGCAGACAACUCCAAUCUCUUCCGGGGGAUGAAAUGCAAUACCUACAAAUGCUUCGUUCGUUGACCAUUGAAGGGUGUUAUAAUUUGGCAUCCUUCCCUUUGGAAGUGGGCCGCCUCAAUUCUCUUUGUUUUCUACGGCUCUCACAAUGUCCAAGUAUAAUAUUGCAGCCAAAAGAACUCGUACAAAUCUUGAAUUCAGUACAUCGGUUUGAAAUACAAAUUUGUGGCAACAAAGUCAAUUUACGUGGGCGGCUGCAACACUUACACACGCUCAAAGAAUUGUCUCUAAGUGAUGCACAUUAUGUAUCAUCUAUCCGCAUGUACCCAAUUCGGUAUGGAAAUCCAAAAUCAACAUUACAUAUUUGUUGUUGUGGUGAAUUGGAGUCGCUGAUGACAGUAGAACCAGCAAGCAGUGCUGUGCUAGAAGCACUAUCCAUAGAUGGAAUUUCCAAUCUCAGGACCUUGCCUGGCUGGCUGCAACAUCUCAAGUCUCUUACUUUACUAUCAAUCAGGCAAUGCAUAAUCUCAAUAUUAAGUAUUUGUUGUGGUAAUGAAUUGGAGUCAUUGAUGACAGCAGAACCAGCAAGCAGUACUGUGCUAGAAAAACUAUAUAUAGAUGGAAUUUCUAAUCUCACGACCUUGCCCGACUGGCUGCAGCAUCUCAAGUCUCUUCGUUUACUAUCAAUCCGGGACUGCCCACGAUUAAAAAUGGUGCCAAGGGAUUUGAAGAAUCUACAUAUGUUGAAAGAUUUGAGGAUUAUCGGUUGCCCACAAUUGGAAAGAAGAUGCAAAAGGGAGACAGACGAAGAUUCAAUCGGACAAGCAUGCUGAAGAGGCCGAGGAUGAAGACUCGACAGAUGAAGACUCGGCAUAAGAUCAUGAAUCUAAAGUUGCGCUACUUAUGUGGAAGAAAGGACGAGUCACCAAAGAAGUGGUUUUGAAGGAGAGGAUUUUGAUAAAAAAAAAAAAGUACAACAAAUUGAUGGUUACAUACAACAAAAGAGGGAGGGUAAGCUGAAAAUUAAAGGAACUAAAGAGGAUAUACUUACCAAAGCGCUUGAGAUUGAAGAAUAUAAUGACCAUGUGAGGGGUAUUGGAGGUCAUAUCACUCCAACAAUAUAUUUCAAUUCUGGUAGAACAUGGAAGCAUGUUGAUGUAAUCACUGAGCAUAAAAGGGAACUGAUGGAGGCGAGGAAGAAAAUUUUAGAACAAGAUGCACGUAUACAAAACCUUGAAGUAAUGGUGUAUAAAAAGGGUGCAAGCGACAUUUCGAUUGAUGACAAAGACAGUUGCUCAGUAAAGUUGCAUCCAUGAUUGAAGAUGACAUGAAGAUCGAUGAUGAUGACCCACAAAUUUUGUGUCAAACUGAUGCUUUGUAGGUAUAACACUAGUUGCAGUUAUAUUAAUGGUGACCUAUAGAUUUUGUGACCUGCAACUUUUUCAUUUUAGGGAAAACCAGUUGCAUUGACAUUGGAAUCUAGCACAAAUAUUAUCGCACAUGGUACAAUUGUUUGUGGCAAUGUAUCUAAUAAAAUGCUUCAUGGUGUUCCAUUUCCCAAUAAUUGCAUGCGAGUCUCCAUUGAUGAAGCAGUAGAAAAAUCAACACCUUUGCCAUAUCCAAUUCCAAGUGAAUUUGAAGUAAUUAGUAAUGCUAUAGGAACGCAUGUGGUUUGGUCAAAACACUUGAUAGUGAACCAAGAUGAGGUAUUUGUUAUAUUAUAUUUCAAAUUAAAUUGUCACUUUUUUAUUAAUCAUCAUAUCUAACUUGUUUACAUUUGAAAUUAUUAGAAGCCUCGAAGGAAGAAGUUUGAACAACCAAAAAAGAAACAUACUUUGUCAACAUGUGUCCCAAGAGCAUUACAUAUGUUAUAUUGUUAUAGUAAGUGUGUUUUAGAUGAUGGCAGAUAUAUAUCAGUGAGUUUAGAUUAUGAACUAUUUGAUGAUGAUUAUGAACUUCUUCUGCACCUUGAGGACAUCAUUCCUUUAUAUCAUUUGGAGCCUCUUUUAGGCAAAUGUGCAGUUGGCUACAUAUGGUAAGUGAUUAGAUUUAGCAGGGUUACUAUAAUCAUGAUAAUCGCCCAUUUUUAGAAUAACUUUCAUUUCUAAAUCUACCUCUUCGUUUUAUUAUGUUUGCAAUGGUAGGUAUCUUUAUAAAAAAAUGCUGAAAGAUAACAAGAAAGAGAAAUUCAAAUUUGUGAAUCCACAUAAAAUCCCAUAU